ACGUAGGUACCGAGCGUUAUCCGGAUUUACUGGGCGUAAAGCGCGUUCAGGCGGUUUGACAAGUCGGGCAUGAAAUCUCUCGGCUCAACCGGGAGAGGUUGUCCGAUACUGUCAGACUUGAGGGCAGUAGAGGGUGGUGGAAUUCCGGGUGUAGUGGUGAAAUGCGUAGAUAUCCGGAGGAACACCAGUGGCGAAAGCGGCCACCUGGACUGUACCUGACGCUCAAACGCGAAAGCUAGGGGAGCGAACGGGAUUAGAAACCCCGGUAGUCCUAGCUAUAAACGAUGUUGACUAGGUGUCGACGGUCUAAACCCCGCCGGUGCCGGAGCUAACGCAUUAAGUCAACCGCCUGGGGACUACGGCCGCAAGGUUA
rnacentral:rRNA from 1 species